rnacentral:lncRNA from 10 species
GUAUCAUUUAUCACUGUGAUCUUACCAAAGAGGAGCUGGAGCCAAGAGUUUUCCGAGAGGUGACCGUAAAAGGAAUUGAUGCUUCUGAUUACCAGACAGUCCAGCUCCCCAAGGGUACUGAGUCUUCCAGAAACUGAAUCACUGGUUGAUUGAUGAUGACGAAGAAUGUCUCUGUUCCUUUGCAAUGAGAGGUCACCAAUAGGGCACCAGGUGUUUAUCAAGGCCCCUCCCACCUGGAGGGCUGGACCACACAGGCCACAGAUUAGGAAUCAGAACAUUGUUUGUGAAGGAAGAUGAGAAUAAAGAGCGCUGGAUGUUCCCCACAAUGUUUCUGUGAAACUAGGGCAUUAUUAUAGCUUGGUGAAUUACCCUUCAAUUGUCUAGAAAUGGUCUAGAUGAUAGGCUACAUCUAGAUCAUGAAUAAAGCUUUGUUUACUAAAACAGGUGGUGGGCUGGAUUUGGUGUAGAGCUAUGAUUUAUCAGCCCCUGUUCUACAUCAGCAGUUGGCAAACUGGCCUCCUGUUUUAUUGGAGAACACAUGCCCAUUUGUUUACAUAUUGCCUGUGGUUGCUUUGGCACUUAGAGUGGUUGCAACAGAAACUCUAUGUCCCAGAAGGCCUGAAAUAUUUAAUAUAUGGCCUUUAAGAAAAAGUUUGCAGAAUCUUCAUCUAUGUAAAUAGCAUUUAAAAGUACAACAUUCUUGAUAGACAUACAGGGCCGAGAAGACAUACAGGGUCAAGAAGCUCUGUCAGACAGGCCUGAAAUCCACGUGGGGCAAGUCAUUUAACCUUUCUGCCACAGUUUUUUCAACUGUAAAGUAGAGAUUGAUAGUAUCUGUUUUUUAGGAUUCCUGUGGGAUUAUUAAGAGAUAAGGUAUAUUCAAGAUCUGGCAAUAGAAUAUAAUCUAUUUUUUUCAAUCAACGUUAGAAAUAAAUGUAACAGACUUUUAGUUUCCUAUUUA